GCUUAUGAUUUUCAUUAUAUUACAAAACUGAAAUAUUAUGAGGACUUGUGAAAAUUCUAUAGGAACCAUCAUAUGGGUCGCAAGUUUGUCAACUAUAUCCUCAUAUGGAACCUCUACUGCUACAAAGUGAUGCUUUUCAGGCUACACAAUGCAAGUGUAACCUUUCAGAAUUUGGUUGAUCGACCGAGAAGAAUGUAUUGGCUUAUGUCGAUAAGAUACUAAUUAAAUCCAAUACAUUAUUCGACCACGGACCACCCCUGCGAACUUAGAGAAAUACUUAGAACAUUACACACUAAUGAAUGAAACUGAAUCUAGACAAGUGUCAUUAUAGGACACUUGAGAGAAAGUUCUUGGGCUUUUACGUAGGAAAGAAUGGCAUACGACCUAAUCUCGAAAAAAUCAAAGUCGUCAUAACCCUAAUCGAGAAGUUAGUUUACGCAGUCAUGCAUGCAACGCGAUGAUUUUGACAAAGUAAGGUUGACUCACUGGUCUCGUAAACUAUUAAAGUUUAUGAGGUUCAAGAUUCGAAUCUUAAUUUGUACAUUUUUAUUUAAAUUUAUCCGAUGAUAUAUUAUAUAUGUAGUUCUGGUAUAUCAUCCGGAAGUUAACAACUUUACAUCUGCAGAGAGGUGUAAAGAUUUCGAUCUUGACAAAACGUCUUGGAGAAAUCAGUGGGAAGAAACCCUAAUGUGAUGAAAUGGAUGGAGAAGAAGAGAUCGAUGGAGGAAAAGAAGAAGAGGAAGAAAAAGAAGAAAUUAGAGUAGUUGAGUGAUUUAACUACCACGAGAGAGAAAAAUGUUGAACAAGAUUAAAAGAAGAUUAACCAACAAAUGAGAAGGUUAUCACAAAACAAGAGAGUGGAAGAAGAGAGUUCAACUUCAUUUUUAAUAACUAAUCUAUGAUGUUAUUUAUACACACACUUAAGGUGGUGUAUUUACAUUAUAGUCUAAAUUUUUACAUACAAUAGUGAUUCAACCCUUAUGGGUGAUUUUGUAUUUCCUUCCUUAUCUUUUGUAUUCUUUACACACAUGCCUUUAUGGGUGACAUUGCUCUUAUGUCCUUGUAUUCUUAGUCUUUACAAGAGGU
rnacentral:lncRNA from 1 species